GUCUCGAAUUCAGAAGAGCUAUAUAUUUUAUUGUAAUAAAUAUUUUUAAAACGUAAUGAAAUGUUAAUAUAUCUAGUUUUUCAAGAAAAUUUAAUUUUUUUAUAUUUUCAGGGAUGAGCUUGAAUUAUGAUUAGAAGUUUUGUUAUAGUCUAUUUAUUGAAAUUUAUUUUUUAAUUAUUUUAGUAAUAAUGAUUUAAUUAGUAUAAGAUUAAGAAAAGGAAUUCGGCAAAUAUUCUUCACCUGUUUAUUAAAAACAUGGCCUUUUGAUAAUAAUUGAAGGUCUAGCCUGCCCGCUGAGGCCGCGGUAUUUUGACCGUGCGAAGGUAGCAUAAUAAUUAGUUUUUUAAUUGGAAGCUGGAAUGAAUGGUUGAAUGAGGGAAUAACUGUCUCUUUUUAAUAGAACUUUAUUUUUAAGUAAAAAAGCUUAAAUGUUAUUAAAAGACGAGAAGACCCUAUAGAGUUUUAUUUUGGUUGGGGCGAUCGAAAAAUUUAUUUAACUUUUGAUUAUUAGAUAAAAUUACCUUAGGGAUAACAGCGUAAUUCUUUUUAGAGUUCUAAUCGAAAAAAGGGUUUGCGACCUCGA
rnacentral:rRNA from 1 species